AUGAUGGACUAUAGGACAGGACUGCUGCUUUUAACUCUCUGCUGGACAGGUGUAUAUGGUCAGACUCUGACAGAAUCAGAGCCAGUGGUUAAAAGACCUGGAGAAUCCCACAGAUUGACCUGUACAGCGUCUGGAUUCACAUUCAGCAGCUACUUGAUGGCCUGGGUCAGACAGGCUCCUGGAAAAGGACUGGAGUGGGUUGCUACUAUUGAUGUUACUAGCAUCUACUACUCUCAGUCAGUUCAAGGCCGGUUUACCAUCUCCAGAGACAACAACAGACAGCAGCUGUAUCUGCAGAUGAACAGUCUGAAGACUGAAGACUCUGCUGUUUAUUAUUGUGCUCAUUCACUGAAGAACAAGUUCAGUAUUGACUUAGAGACUUCCAGCAACACAGUGACUCUAAAUGGACAGAAUGUGCAGCCUGAAGACACUGCUGUGUAUUACUGUGCCAGAGAUCCACAGUAA